rnacentral:rRNA from 1 species
CGCGUAGGCGGUUAUUUAAGUCGGAUGUGAAAGCCCUGGGCUCAACCUGGGAACUGCACUCGAUACUGGGUAACUAGAGUACGAGAGAGGGAGGUAGAAUUCCACGUGUAGCGGUGAAAUGCGUAGAUAUGUGGAGGAAUACCGGUGGCGAAGGCGGCCUCCUGGCUCGAUACUGACGCUGAGGUGCGAAAGCGUGGGGAGCAAACA